GGCCCCUUAGCUCAUUGGCUAGAGCAGUACUCUCAUAAAGUGAAGGUCAUUGGUUCGAUUCCAAUAGGGGCCA
rnacentral:tRNA from 1 species